rnacentral:lncRNA from 1 species
ACUUGGUGGGGUCUAGGUGGGAUCUGGGGGAAUCUAGGUGGAAUCUGGGGGGAUCCGGGGGAUCUAGGUGGGAUGCAGGGAGGUCUGGGGGAUCUUGGGGGGGUCUAGGUGGGAUCUGGGGGGUCUAGGUGGGAUCUGGGGGGUCUAGGUGGGAUUUUAGGGUAACUUGGGGGGGUCUUGGGGAUCUAGGAGGGAUCUGGUUGGGAUCUGGGGUAACUCAGUGGGAUCUGGAGGGUCCAGGUGGGAUCUGGGUGGGAUCUGGGGGUAACUCGAUGGGAUCUGGGGGGAUCUAGGUGGGAUCUGGGGUAACCAGGAGGGAUCUGGGGGGAUCUGGGUGGGAUCUGGGGUAACCAGGAGGGAUCUGGAGGGAUCUAGGAGGGAUCUGGGGGUAACUAGGAGGGAUCUGAGGGGUCUAGGUGGGAUUUGGGGGUAACUAGGAGGAGUCUUGGGGNCACCCCAAAAUCCCCCUCCAAAAUGGGGCGAAAUCCCACGAUUUUGGGGUCCCCCAUCCUCCUCCUUCAGACACCUCAGAAUGGGGCAAAACCCCUCAGUUUUGGGGUUCCCGUCCUCCUCCUUUAGACAGCUCAAAAUGGGACAAAACUUCACAAUUUUGGGGCUCCUCCAGGCACCUCAAAAUGGGGCAAAACCUCACGAUUUUGGGGUCCCCAUCCUCCUCCUUCAGACACCUCAGAAUGGGGCAAAACCCCUCAAUUUUGGGGUUUCUCGAACCACCUCAGAAUGGGGCAAAACUUCACAAUUUUGGGGCUCCUCCAACCACCUCAGAAUGGGGCAAAACUUCACAAUUUUGGGGCUCCUCCAGGCACCUCAAAAUGGGGCAAAACCUCACGAUUUUGGGGUCCCCAUCCUCCUCCUUUAGCUCAAAAUGGGGCGAAAUCCCACGAUUUUGGAGUCCCCAUCCUCCUCCUUCAGACACCUCAAAAUGGGGCAAAACCCCUCAAUUUUGGGGCUCCGCCAACCAGCUCAGAAUGGGGCAAAACCCCUCAAUUUUGGGGCUCCUUUAGACAGCUCAAAAUGGGGCAAAACCUCACAAUAUUGGGGUCCCCAUCCUCCUCCUUUAGACAGCUCAAAAUGGGGUGAAAUCCCACGAUUUUGGGGUCCCCAUCCUCCUCCUUCAGACACCUCAGAAUGGGGCAAAACCCCUCAAUUUUGGGGUUCCUCCAGGCACCUCAAAAUGGGGCAAAACCUCACGAUUUUGGGGUCCCCAUCCUCCUCCUUUAGACAGCUCAAAAUGGGGCAAAACUUCACAAUUUUGGGGUUCCUUCGGGCACCUCGGAAUGGGGCAAAACCCCUCAAUUUUGGGGUUCCUCCAGCCGCCACAGAAUGGGGCAAAAUCCGCCCAUUUUGGGGUUCCCCUCCUUCCCCUGCCCCCCCCAAGUUCCCGUUGACGAAAAUGUGCCUCUUUUCUCUUAAAACCAACUUAAAAACCUACC